rnacentral:rRNA from 1 species
CGGCGGACGGGUGAGUAAUGCCUAGGAAUCUGCCUGGUAGUGGGGGACGAACGUUUCGAAAGGAACGCUAAUACCGCAUACGUCCUACGGGAGAAAGCAGGGGACCUUCGGGCCUUGCGCUAUCAGAUGAGCCUAGGUCGGAUUAGCUAGUUGGUGAGGUAAUGGCUCACCAAGGCGACGAUCCGUAACUGGUCUGAGAGGAUGAUCAGUCACACUGGAACUGAGACACGGUCCAGACUCCUACGGGAGGCAGCAGCC